UGGACGGGGUCAAUGGGCGAUCAAUAAGACCCAUGGCCUAGGCUUGUGACCUUCAUUGCACUUUGGAGGGGUGCCUGCCUAAGGUCGGCCCAAGUGGUCGAGCCUACGUCAUAAUUUGUUGCUGUGGGGGCCUGCGUUCGCGCGGCCCCUGCCCAAUACUAAGAUCUAAAUUUGUUUGGUCAUAUAUUAAGCACGGCUCUAUAAUUGGGCUCCAAAAUAUAUUAAAUUGUUAUAUUAUAUAUUAAGUGUGAAUAAAAAAAUAUAGAAAGAUAAAUUUAGUUUGAAUAUGUCAUAAUACAUUCAUAAAGAAAAAAAUUGGUUAAACAAAAUAAAAUGCUAAUAAGAAUUGCUCAUGUUAUAAAGUGAGUGAAAAUGUUAUGAAAAGUUGUUCAUAUAUGAAUUUAUUUCAACUGUUCUCAAUAUAGCUGUUGUUUCUAUACUUGAUUUUGAUGCUUCCUGUAUGUAUUUUGUUCUUUGUUGGAUUCUGGAUAUGAGCUUGUGUAUUACCGUGUUUGAUGUCAUUAUCCAUCACAGAACUCGGCCUUUGUCAGUGGUCUUCUAAUGUGACAUAAUGCUGUUUUGUUCUCGAUGAUAACUCCUGUCUGUGAUGUCGUAAGACACUUAUUUUGCUUGUAUCCGUAUAUGGCUAUACAGAUAACACUCCUGUUAGCUGCUACUGUAUAUACAUUUUCACGUAAGCUUAUAGACUCUUGUUGAAGACGCAGAAUAAGGUUCUGAACAAAAUGAACCUGACAUAAGUCCGAAGAAGUUGAAAACCAACAUGACCUGAGGAAGCUGGUGAUGCUGCAGCGAUGCUAUAUAAGAAAUGUGUGUGUAUUAUUAUAUAUGUUAUCGAUAAUUCAUCCUUUCUUAGAGAAGUUGCCUUGUUUAAUCAAGACAACAACUCUUCAGUUGAUUGAGCCAUAUCCAUUUUCUUUGGAUAAUGUAAUACAAGAACAGAAAGAUUCUGAAGGAAAUCGCGCUGCUGUUAACAGUUGCCAUUUUGUUGGCUUGUUGCUCUAUAUGUUACUGAUUACUCGGAGAGUAACACCGUUUUCGACUAAUUCUCCCACAUCAGCAUCUGAGAGAGAAGUGGAGUAAAGACAGUAGUAUUAGUAAUGAGCUGAGCAGGCUGGAAAACUUACUUACCUGGACGGGGUCAAUGGGCGAUCAAUAAGACCUAUGGCCUAGGCUUGUGACCUCCAUUGCACUUUGGAGGGGUGCCUGCCUAAGGUCGGCCCAAGUGGUCGAGCCUACGUCAUAAUUUGUUGCUAUGGGGGCCUGCGUUCGCGCAGCCCCUGCCCAAAUCUACGCCCAAAAAUUUCUCUGGCCCAUCUGAAUUUUACAAAAACAUAUGUUUUCUCUGCCCCAUCUGUUUGAUAUAAGAUUAUUUCGACUACAUUAUCAAACACAACGAUAAGUGAUGUCUAUAUGACUAACAAUCUAAAAGUGCCAUAAGUCAAAGAAGGCGCGAUAAUGAGUCUUGGCUUCAAAGAUCAAAUAUUUGUCUUGAAAAUACAAACCAGCUACAGUACUAUUACAUUGGGCCUGAUCUUAUGGGUAGCGAAUACCUUUAGCAGAUGCAGGAGCUUGUGGAUGAUUCCAAGAGUUUGUGCUGCAUAUUCUUAAGUUUGGCAAAGGCCAUUAGUCUAAAAACUAAUACCUGUUUGAAGGACUAGUUACAGAUUGCUAAGUUCUAGAUGACUUACUUCUACAGAAAUUGGUUUACUAGAACAAUUGUUUAUAUGGCAUUGGUGAGAGUUGCUUUGGCUGAUCGAUACAAAACGAAGAUCUGCUGAAACAGAUAAGGGUAUAGCUGGUUUGCUUAUGGUCCUUUGGUUUGUAAGAUCAAUGGCUAUACAGUUAACAUUUUCAUGUAAGACUGAAGAAGUUGAAAACUAACAUGACCUGAGGAAGCUGGUGAUGCUGCAGCGAUGCUAUAUAAGAAAUGUGUGUGUAUUAUAUACGUUGUCCAAAAUUCAUCCUUUCAUAGAGAACUUGACUUGUUUAAUUAAGACAACACUCUUCAGUUGAUUGAGCCAUAUCAUCCAUUUAUAACUCAAAAUCUGAUUUUAUUAAUGUCUCUUGAAUGCUCUCUUUGAGUAUAGACUUCAGUUUUUUCCUCCAUUUCUUUUGAUGAUUGCCAUGUUACCAGAGACUAACUUUUUGUUAUCUAUGCCGGGGAGAAUGUCAGCGUGUUGCUACUUAGUUUAGCGAUGUUGUAUAUGUUACUGAUUACUCGGAGAUUAACGCCAUUUUGGACUAAUUCUCCCACAUCAGUAUCUGAGAGAGAGAAGUGGAGCAAAAGCAGUAGUAUUAAUAAUGGGCUGAGCUCACUGGAUUACAUACUUACCUGGACGGGGUCAAUGGGCGAUCAAUAAGACCUAUGGCCUAGGCUUGUGACCUUCAUUGCACUUUGGAGGGGUGCCUGCCUAAGGUCGGCCCAAGUGGUCGAGCCUACGUCACAAUUUGUUGCUGCGGGAGCCUGCGUUCGCGCGGCCCCUACCCAAACCUAAGUAAAAAUGUUCAUCUCUUUAGUUGAUUGAGUAGAGUAAUGCAUAUCUUAUUUAUUUAAAAUACCU
rnacentral:lncRNA from 1 species